rnacentral:rRNA from 1 species
ACGAUCAGUAGCCGACCUGAGAGGGUGAUCGGCCACAUUGGAACUGAGACACGGUCCAAACUCCUACGGGAGGCAGCAGUGGGGAAUAUUGCACAAUGGGCGAAAGCCUGAUGCAGCAACGCCGCGUGAGUGAUGAAGGCCUUCGGGUCGUAAAACUCUGUCCUCAAGGAAGAUAAUGACGGUACUUGAGGAGGAAGCCCCGGCUAACUACGUGCCAGCAGCCGCGGUAAUACGUAGGGGGCUAGCGUUAUCCGGAUUUACUGGGCGUAAAGGGUGCGUAGGCGGUCUUUCAAGUCAGGAGUGAAAGGCUACGGCUCAACCGUAGUAAGCUCUUGAAACUGGGAGACUUGAGUGCAGGAGAGGAGAGUGGAAUUCCUAGUGUAGCGGUGAAAUGCGUAGAUAUUAGGAGGAACACCAGUUGCGAAGGCGGCUCUCUGGACUGUAACUGACGCUGAGGCACGAAAGCGUGGGGAGCAAACAGGAUUAGAUACCCUGGUAGUCCACGCUGUAAACGAUGAGUAC